rnacentral:rRNA from 1 species
AUUGAACGCUGGCGGCAGGCCUAACACAUGCAAGUCGAGCGGAUGAAGGGAGCUUGCUCCUGGAUUCAGCGGCGGACGGGUGAGUAAUGCCUAGGAAUCUGCCUGGUAGUGGGGGAUAACGUCCGGAAACGGGCGCUAAUACCGCAUACGUCCUGAGGGAGAAAGUGGGGGAUCUUCGGACCUCACGCUAUCAGAUGAGCCUAGGUCGAAUUAGCUAGUUGGUGGGGUAAAGGCCUACCAAGGCGACGAUCCGUAACUGGUCUGAGAGGAUGAUCAGUCACACUGGAACUGAGACACGGUCCAGACUCCUACGGGAGGCAGCAGUGGGGAAUAUUGGACAAUGGGCGAAAGCCUGAUCCAGCCAUGCCGCGUGUGUGAAGAAGGUCUUCGGAUUGUAAAGCACUUUAAGUUGGGAGGAAGGGCAGUAAGUUAAUACCUUGCUGUUUUGACGUGACCAACAGAAUAAGCACCGGCUAACUUCGU